rnacentral:rRNA from 1 species
AGCCUUAUGAAUUGAUAUAAGGUUAAACCUGCUCAAUGAAAUUUUAAUAGCCGCAGUACCCUGACUGUGCUAAGGUAGCAUAAUAAUUUGUCUUUUAAAUGAAGUCUAGAAUAAAAGGAUUUUUGGGGAGUAGCUGUUUCUUAGGGAUUCAUUUUAAUUUUCUUAAAAGGUGAAAAAACCUUUAUUAAGAAAAAAGACGAGAAGACCCUUAGAGUUUUUUUGUUGGGGCGACAAGUAAGCAGACGUCAUUUUAAGAGAGAUAAAACUACCUUAGGGAUAACAGCAUAAUUUUUAUUUAAGAUUGUGACCUCGAUGUUGGACUAGGAACUUUUUAAUUAACCAUCUUAUUAGAUUGCUCUGUUCGAGCUUUCUUUCCU